rnacentral:rRNA from 1 species
CUAAGAUAGACACCGAAUUUGUAGAUUGUGUUAAACACAGUGGUAGAAGAGCGUUCAUACCAGCGUUGAAGGUAUACCGGUAAGGAGUGCUGGAGCGGUAUGAAGUGAGCAUGCAGGAAUGAGUAACGAUAAGAUAUAUGAGAAUUGUAUCCGCCGUAAAUCUAAGGUUUCCUACGCGAUGGUCGUCAUCGUAGGGUUAGUCGGGUCCUAAGCCGAGUCCGAAAGGGGUAGGUGAUGGCAAAUUGGUUAAUAUUCCAAUACCGACUGUGGAGCGUGAUGGGGGGACGCAUAGGGUUAAGCGAGCUAGCUGAUGGAAGCGCUAGUCUAAGGGCGUAGAUUGGAGGGAAGGCAAAUCCACCUCUGUAUUUGAAACCCAAACAGGCUCUUUGAGUCCUUUCAGGACAAAGGGAGAAUCGCUGAUACCGUCGUGCCAAGAAAAGCCUCUAAGCAUAUCCAUAGUCGUCCGUACCGCAAACCGACACAGGUAGAUGAGAUGAGUAUUCUAAGGCGCGUGAAAGAACUCUGGUUAAGGAACUCUGCAAACUAGCACCGUAAGUUCGCGAUAAGGUGUGCCGCAGCAAUGCGGUCUCAGCAAAGAGUCCCUCCCGACUGUUUACCAAAAACACAGCACUUUGCCAACUCGUAAGAGGAAGUAUAAGGUGUGACGCCUGCCCGGUGCUCGAAGGUUAAGAGGAUGCGUCAGUCGCAAGAUGAAGCGUUGAAUUGAAGCCCGAGUAAACGGCGGCCGUAACUAUAACGGUCCUAAGGUAGCGAAAUUCCUUGUCGGUUAAAUACCGACCUGCAUGAAUGGCGUAACGAGAUGGGAGCUGUCUCAACCAGAGAUUCAGUGAAAUUGUAGUGGAGGUGAAAAUUCCUCCUACCCGCGGCAAGACGGAGAGACCCCGUGGACCUUUACUACAACUUAGCACUGCUAACGGGAAUAUCAUGCGCAGGAUAGGUGGGAGGCUUUGAAGUAAGGGCUUUGGCUCUUAUGGAGCCAUCCUUGAGAUACCACCCUUGAUGUUUCUGUUAGCUAACUGGCCUGUGUUAUCCACAGGCAGGACAAUGCUUGGUGGGUAGUUUGACUGGGGCGGUCGCCUCCUAAAAAGUAACGGAGGCUUGCAAAGGUUGGCUCAUUGCGGUUGGAAAUCGCAAGUUGAGUGUAAUGGCACAAGCCAGCCUGACUGUAAGACAUACAAGUCAAGCAGAGACGAAAGUCGGUCAUAGUGAUCCGGUGGUUCUGUGUGGAAGGGCCAUCGCUCAAAGGAUAAAAGGUACCCCGGGGAUAACAGGCUGAUCUCCCCCAAGAGCUCACAUCGACGGGGAGGUUUGGCACCUCGAUGUCGGCUCAUCGCAUCCUGGGGCUGGAGCAGGUCCCAAGGGUAUGGCUGUUCGCCAUUUAAAGCGGUACGCGAGCUGGGUUCAGAACGUCGUGAGACAGUUCGGUCCCUAUCUGCCGUGGGCGUAGGAAAGUUGAGGAGAGCUGUCCCUAGUACGAGAGGACCGGGAUGGACGUGUCACUGGUGCACCAGUUGUUCUGCCAAGAGCAUCGCUGGGUAGCUACACACGGAUGUGAUAACUGCUGAAAGCAUCUAAGCAGGAAGCCAACUCCAAGAUAAACUUUCCCUGAAGCUCGCACAAAGACUAUGUGCUUGAUAGGGUAGAUGUGUAAGUGCAGUAAUGCGUUUAGCUGACUACUACUAAUAGAGCGUUUGGCUUGUUUUU